UCAUAAUGUCCUUUAGUUUUGUUGAAUGUGUUUAAAUGUAAACAAUAGCAUCUUUUUACAUAAACAGGUAUCCUUAUGUUAUUAAUUUUUUUACAAAAACAAAUAAUAGUUCAAAACAAAAAUUUUAAUUUAUGAAAAAAGAAGUUGCUUAUCUCAAAAGAAUCGAAUUCAAAUUAGUUGAUGACUAUAAACUCACUGAUGCACCGUUAAACGGAAGGUGGUAAUAAAGUUUACAAAAAUUGCUCUGGCUGAAUUUUUCAAUGAAAAAACAAUAUGUGUGCUAUGAAUGUAAUCUGUUUUUCAUGGCGUAUCAAUGAAAGUUUGGUGUAUUGGCCAAAUCACUUGUAAGCAUCUUGCCCUUAAACUGCCAUACUGAGCUUUGCUUGACUAUCUCUUUCGAUUUAUUGAGUUUAUUUGCCGGUUAUAGAUGAAAAAAGAUCUUUUAAACCUAGAAGAAGAAUUAUGGAACAAAGACACCUUAUGAAUCAAUAGUAUAUAUCAGUGAAUUGAUAUUAGUUAAUAGUUUUUGGAAACAGUACCAUAUACUAUUAAAGUUUCUAAUUGUUAAAAUAUAUACAUUUAUAUAAAACAUACAAACAAAUGAUACAAUAUGAUACGUGAUUGACUAUAAUUAUGUUGUAUAUCAGAAUGUUUUAUAUAAAUGCUUAUUACAUUUUAUAAUGAUUAUUAUCUUUUAUGUCCAGUUAGCAAUGUAUUUUGUGUAGCAAUGACUACUAAUCUCAGAUAUCUAUGACAUCUGUAGGGUGUAUCCACCGCUACAGAUGUCAUAAUCUAUUUAUAACCAAUUGCUUUUACUCUUCCAUAAUGUCAUAUUUUAAUAAGAAUCACAUUAUGGAAAACCGUCUAAUACAUACACAUGAGGAACCAUUAUACUUUUAGUACAACCAAUUAUAUUACAUUUAUUUUCUUAUUUUAGAUGAACUUGCUUACUUCGGUUGGAGGAGAUGAGAAACAACUUACAGCGGCAAUCUUAAUACUACUAAUGGCCAAAGAAGUAUGUUUUUUAUACUCAGUGUAUGGAAUGAAACAGAAACGACCUGCAAGGUCGUUAUAGAGUUGCGUUUAGUCGUUUAUCGUUGUAUUCGUUCAUUUCGAAAUCGCUACUGACAAAAGUAUUAAAGAAAAAAUUGGCAGCUUUCUGGCGACGGCCAUUAAUAGAGAUUAUAUAAGAAAAUAGAACCGUAACUGAGCAACACCCAAUAUUGAGCAAUGAAAUAAGUAUCGCCAAUAUAAUUAAAGUCGAUGCCCACUAUCUUAUAGUGAGAGUAUAAUACAGUAGUUUAUAUAUAUAUA